ACCUCUAACCCAAUAUGGAUUAACGCUGCCCGUGCCUGUUAUACAAAAAUUGAACAGUUUUACUGCGAUUACGAAUGGUACUGUAAAACCCCUCAUAGUUACCCCCAAAAUUUACCUUACUUACAAUCAUUAGUUUCGACAAAGUUGAUAACCACGCUCUGCUUUGCUAUUAUAGUUGCAAUUCCUGUGACUACACUCAGGACAAUUUGUAAAGUUGUUCAACACUCUCAGUCUGUGACGCAUAGUGUUUGAACAAACUUUUUAUGAGACUGAUCACUCAAAUGGAGAAAUGCUAAGAAGUUAAACUGCUACAAGCCGUUGCAGGGAUUCAAAUGUUUAUUAAAUAUAACUAUAACUCCUGCAGCAUAAGGGUUCUGGACAUAUCAGCUGGGGCCGGUUGCACGAAGCCUGGAUAGCGUUAUCCACUGGAUAGCAAUUUUUUCUGAACGUUCAUAAAAUCUCUUAUAAGAGAAAAAUAUACGAUUUGAGCUGUGCAA